UGCGGGGUGGAGCAGUCAGGUAGCUCGUCGGGCUCAUAACCCGAAGGUCUUUGGUUCGAAUCCAAACCCCGCUACCA
rnacentral:tRNA from 1 species